rnacentral:rRNA from 1 species
AAUCGUUGUCCGGAUUUACUGGGCGUAAAGAGCGUGUAGGCGGCCACGCAUGUCCGUUGUGAAAACUGGAGGCUCAACCUCCAGCUGUCGACGGAAACCGUAUGGCUAGAGUCCGGAAGAGGAGAGUGGAAUUCCUGGUGUAGCGGUGAAAUGCGCAGAUAUCAGGAAGAACACCAAUGGCGAAGGCAGCUCUCUGGGACGGUACUGACGCUGAGACGCGAAAGCGUGGGGAGCGAACAGG